GAGUUUGAUCGUGGCUCAGGAUGAACGCUGGCGGCGUGCCUAAUACAUGCAAGUCGAACGAACAGAUAAGGAGCUUUGCUCCUUUGACGUUAGCGGCGGACGGGUGAGUAACACGUGGGUAACCUACCUAUAAGACUGGAAUAACUCCGGGAAACCGGGGCUAAUGCCGGAUAACAUGUUGAACCGCAUGGUUCUACAGUGAAAGACGGUCUUGCUGUCACUUAUAGAUGGACCCGCGCCGUAUUAGCUAGUUGGUGGGGUAACGGCCUACCAAGGCGACGAUACGUAGCCGACCUGAGAGGGUGAUCGGCCACACUGGAACUGAGACACGGUCCAGACUCCUACGGGAGGCAGCAGUAGGGAAUCUUCCGCAAUGGGCGAAAGCCUGACGGAGCAACGCCGCGUGAGUGAUGAAGGUCUUCGGAUCGUAAAGCUCUGUUGUUAGGGAAGAACAAAUGUGUAAGUAACUGUGCAUAUCUUGACGGUACCUAACCAGAAAGCCACGGCUAACUACGUGCCAGCAGCCGCCGUAACC
rnacentral:rRNA from 1 species